rnacentral:rRNA from 1 species
AUUGAACGCUCGCGGGAUGCUUUACACAUGCAAGUCGAACGGCAGCGCGGACUUCGGUCUGGCGGCGAGUGGCGGACGGGUGAGUAAUGUAUCGGAACGUGCCCAGUAGCGGGGGAUAACUACGCGAAAGCGUAGCUAAUACCGCAUACGCCCUACGGGGGAAAGCAGGGGAUCGUAAGACCUUGCACUAUUGGAGCGGCCGAUAUCGGAUUAGCUAGUUGGUGAGGUAACGGCUCACCAAGGCGACGAUCCGUAGCUGGUUUGAGAGGACGACCAGCCACACUGGGACUGAGACACGGCCCAGACUCCUACGGGAGGCAGCAGUGGGGAAUUUUGGACAAUGGGGGCAAGCCUGAUCCAGCCAUCCCGCGUGUGCGAUGAAGGCCUUCGGGUUGUAAAGCACUUUUGGCAGGAAAGAAACGUCGCGGGCUAAUACCCCGUGGAUCUGACGGUACCUGCAGAAUAAGCACCGGCUAACUACGUG